ACCCGGAUGAUGAGUCCCAAAUAGGAAGAAACACGCGUCCUGGAC
rfam:Schistosoma mattheei strain Denwood, Zambia genome assembly, scaffold: SMTD_scaffold0001290